UUAUAUGGUCAAGCAUGAAAGUGCAUCCGGUGGAUGCCUUGGCAGCCAAAGGCGAUGAAGGACGUCGUAACCUGCGAUAAGCCUCGGGGAGCCGGUAAACAGGCCCUGAUCCGGGGAUUUCCGAAUGGGGAAACCCACCGCUUUCGGGCGGUAUCCAUACCUGAAUCCAUAGGGUAUGGAGGCGAACCCGGGGAACUGAAAUAUCUAAGUACCCGGAGGAAAAGAAAUCAACCGAGAUUCCCUCAGUAGCGACGAGCGAACGGGGAACAGCCCUUAAGCCCAUGAAUGGUUAGUGGAAGCAUCUGGAAAGUUGCGCGAUACAGGGUGAUAGCCCCGUACACGAAAACGAUCCAUGGGUGAAAUCGAGUAGGACGGGGCACGUGAAACCCUGUCUGAACUGUCUUCGGACGAGGGGGGACCAUCCUCCAAGGCUAAAUACUCUUGGCUGACCGAUAGUGAACCAGUACCGUGAGGGAAAGGCGAAAAGAACCCCUGUGAGGGGAGUGAAAUAGAACCUGAAACCGGAUGCAUACAAGCAGUGGGAGCCUACCGCCUCCCGGCUUUGGGAAUAUCCUUCGGGAGAAGACCCGUCAAGCUGGGACGCAAGGUGGGUGACUGCGUACCUUUUGUAUAAUGGGUCAGCGAGUUACUUUUACUGGCAAGGUUAACCGUUUAGGGGAGCCGUAGGGAAACCGAGUCUUAACAGGGCGUUCAACCUCGCUUGCGAGGCAGUCGGUAGGAGUAGGCCCGAAACCGAGCGAUCUAGCCAUGGGCAGGGUGAAGGUUGAGUAACAUCAACUGGAGGCCCGAACCCACUAAUGUUGAAAAAUUAGGGGAUGACCUGUGGCUCGGAGUGAAAGGCUAAUCAAGCUCGGAGAUAGCUGGUUCUCCUCGAAAUCUAUUUAGGUAGAGCCUCUCGUAUCACCGCCGGGGGUAGAGCACUGUUUGGGCUAGGGGGUCACCUAGACUUACCAACCCCAUGCAAACUCCGAAUACCGGUGAGUGCAAUCGAGGGAGACACACGGCGGGUGCUAACGUCCGUCGUGGAAAGGGAAACAACCCAGACCGCCAGCUAAGGUCCCCAAGUGACAGUUAAGUGGGAAACGAUGUGGGAAGGCCCAGACAGCCAGGAGGUUGGCUUAGAAGCAGCCAUCCUUUAAAGAAAGCGUAAUAGCUCACUGGUCGAGUCGGCCUGCGCGGAAGAUGUAACGGGGCUCAAACUGUCCACCGAAGCUGCGGAUGCCACGCCUUAGGGUGCGGCAUGGUAGAGGAGCGUUCUGUACGCCUGUGAAGGCGGACCGUGAGGUCCGUUGGAGGUAUCAGAAGUGCGAAUGCUGACAUGAGUAACGAUAAAGGAGGUGAAAAUCCUCCUCGCCGGAAGACCAAGGGUUCCUGCGCAACGCUCAUCGGCGCAGGGUGAGUCGGCCCCUAAGGCGAGGCCGAAAGGCGUAGUCGAUGGGAAGCAGGUUAACAUUCCUGCACCGAUCGGAGCUGCGAUGGGGUGACGAAGAAGGCUAGGCUGGCCUGGCGAUGGUGUCCAUUUUCGGAUGGCGGCCAGGUUUAAGCACGUAGGCUGGGGUCUUAGGCAAAUCCGGGACCUCAAGGCUGAGAUGUGAUGACGAACCGCUCCUAUACGAGCGGGAAGUGGUUGAUGCCCUGCUUCCAGGAAAAACCUCUAAGCUUUAAGGCUGCGAACGACCGUACCCUAAACCGACACAGGUGGUCGGGUAGAGAAUACCAAGGCGCUUGAGAGAACUCGGGUGAAGGAACUAGGCAAAAUGGCACCGUAACUUCGGGAGAAGGUGCGCCGCUGAUGGUGAUUGGACUUGCUCCUUGAGCUGUCGGCGGUCGAAGAUACCAGGUGGCUGCGACUGUUUACUAAAAACACAGCACUCUGCAAACUCGUAAGAGGACGUAUAGGGUGUGACGCCUGCCCGGUGCCGGAAGGUUAAUUGAUUGGGUUAGCGCUCGGACUUGUCCGUUCGCGAAGCUCAUGAUCGAAGCCCCGGUAAACGGCGGCCGUAACUAUAACGGUCCUAAGGUAGCGAAAUUCCUUGUCGGGUAAGUUCCGACCUGCACGAAUGGCGUAACGAUGGCCACACUGUCUCCACCCGAGACUCAGUGAAAUUGAAAUCGCGGUGAAGAUGCCGUGUACCCGCGGCUAGACGGAAAGACCCCGUGAACCUUUACUA
rnacentral:rRNA from 1 species